rnacentral:tRNA from 1 species
GGUGGCUCAGUGGUAGAGUGCUUGUCUUGCAUGCAUGAGGCCCUGCGUUCGAUUCCUCAGCACCA